UAACUUUUUUGAGCCUGCAAA
rnacentral:snRNA from 1 species